AACAGUUAGGGGUACCUUUAAGUUUGGGGUUAACAGUUAGGGGUACCUUUAAGCAAGGGGUUAACAGUUAGGGGUACCUUUAAGUAAGGGGUUAACAGUUAGGGGUACCUUUAAGUAAGGGGUUAACCGUUAGGGGUACCUUUAAGUAAGAGGUUAACGGUUAGGGGUACCUUUAAGUAAGGGGUUAACAGUUAGGUGUACCUUUGAGUAAGGGGUUAACAGUUAGGGGUACCUUUAAAUUUGGGGUUAACAGUUAGGGGUACCUUUAAGUUUGGGGUUAACAGUUAGGGGUACCUUUAAGCAAGGGGUUAACAGUUAGGGGUACCUUUAAGUAAGGGGUUAACAGUUAGGGGUACCUUUAAGUAAGGGGUUAACCGUUAGGGGUAC